rnacentral:rRNA from 1 species
UACGUAGGGGGCAAGCGUUGUCCGGAUUUACUGGGCGUAAAGAGCGUGUAGGCGGCCAAGCAGGUCCGUUGUGAAAACUGGAGGCUCAACCUCCAGACGUCGACGGAAACCGUGUGGCUAGAGUCCGGAAGAGGAGAGUGGAAUUCCUGGUGUAGCGGUGAAAUGCGCAGAUAUCAGGAAGAACACCAAUGGCGAAGGCAGCUCUCUGGGACGGUACUGACGCUGAGACGCGAAAGCGUGGGGAGCGAACAGG